rnacentral:lncRNA from 10 species
UCAGAUCCCGUUUGAAAUAAUACUGGAAUUAUUCAAAGAAAGACAAAUCCAUAGCCACCCUAGAAAGCAAACCAAAGCAUUAAUCAUAUGCCAGGACCUUGGGGAGAGCAUUGUUCUAUCUAAUAACAGUGCAGAGUGGACCAGCAUGAAGAAAGCGAGAUCACGAACUCAUCCUUUUUCCUUCACAGAAAACAGAGUGUCCUAAACAGCAAAAACCCCUAGCAAAAAGCAAUGCUCUCUCUUAACUCGCAGGGCUGACAGCAGGAGAAAAGCCUUCAAGGUCCUGCCACCUAAGCUCUCUUCCUGGAAACUUGUCUUCCUGCUCUAGCCUUCAAGCCUCUCCCUAGAAGAGCCACAGCACUGCCACAGAGGCUCCACACAAGACAGUCCUUAAUUGUGACAAAUCGACCUGCAAACUCAUGAGUUCACCAGCUGAUUUGGGCCCUGACAACUGAAUCAGCAACAGCAGGAUUUUCAAGGCCAGAAGGCUGCUAAAGGAAAGAAAAUAUAAGACGGAUUCAAAAUUUCCAAGGCUCUUGGCUUAGAUCACAGCUCAAACAUGAAAAGAAUUCUUCUGUAGCCUCAAACUAUUUCUGAAUUUGUGAGCUUACCAGUGGACCUCCCUGAAGCUAUCAAACAAUUUGAAAACAAUCUUGAGCAGCAAAUCUAAUUCCGCCAAAGAUAAACUGGAUGCCACCCUCUGCCAAGCCAUGUAAGGAUCUUCUGAAAAAUGACUCCAGUAUAUUCUAUAUGCAAGCAACUCUUUAAUUCAAGAAGACAUCAGCCUUCUUUGAGGCAGGCUUUCAGGCACAUAAGAUAGUCAUUCAGGAUUCUGUCAUCAGUGGAUUCCUAUCCUCAUAUUCUAUGAUGAUCUGGGUGUUAAGACCAGAAAUGGCUGGCCAAGAGCUACUGGUCACACAUCCAUGAAUUCAUGACACUGGAGAUGUAUUUGGUAGCACUCUUAUCAAGCUAAAGAAAAGGAAAGCAGCCAUUAUGAAUCCCUGCCUACUGCUUCUAUGUGUGUUUCUAUAGACUCUUUAUCUUACACAGUAGUCUCCUAGUGUCCCCUGUGUCACCUUCUGUGGCUUCAGGUACUCAAGGUCCAA